AAUUGAUCUCGGCAAGCAAUGUGUGACUCUUCGUCUUUUGGCGUGGGGCAUACGAGUUACUCCGAUUAGACAUCAUCUUUCUUUCUUCACAUUUUGAAGGUUCAGUUUACAGAGAAAAGAAUACAGAUUGAAGGGAAGCAACCUUCUAGUUUAUUUCUUGCUUCUAUAUCUCUUCUUCUCAGUGAGCAGGUGCCUUUUGCAGGUGACUUGGCAGUGUAAGUACUCUUCAACUUUAACUGAGUAAAAUUGAACUUUUACUACAGUUAUAGCUUUUAAUCUCAAUAAAAUGGAGAGAUAUCUUGUGACUUUACAAAAUUCAAUGUCAUAAAAAUAAAAAAUCCAUGUAGUAAUCAGAAAUAAAGUCUUUGUGAAAUGGAGAGGUAGUAAAUGAGCAUUGAUAGUAUAAACUGGGUUUUGUUGGGUUGUAUAGUUGUGUGGAAACCCAGGAAAGAUAAUGCCAAGAUACUGGGAUUUUCCCUGUUCCCUUA